ensembl:lincRNA
AUGUACAGCUUCACCCCCAAGGAGGGACAGGUCUUUGCUCUCACUGCUAGAUUGCAAGUCCUAGGGACAAGUUUUAAUUUGUUUUAUUUUGGUUAUGAGGAUUGUGGGAUCUCAGUUCCCCAACCAGGGAUUGAACCCAGGCCCUCAGCAGUGAAACCCCAAGUCCUAACCACUGGACCACCAGGGAGUCCCCUAGGGAUAGGUUUUGAUUGGCCUGGCUUUAGUUGUAGCCCACUCCAAGGCCAUUCAAAGUGGUACAGGGCAGCAGCACCACCUUGUCAGCGCUUCACGCCACAUUCUGGUCCUGCUGGUUGCACUCUCCUCCCACAUGUCAUUCAGGUCAUGUUGCCGAGGAACCCAGCUGAGACUAGGGUGAGGGUGCUGCCAUCCUUUUUGGCCAUUUCCAAGUGGCUCAGUGGUAAAGAAUCUGCCUGCCAGUGCAGGAGAUACGGGUUAGAUCUCUGGAUCAGGACGAUCCCCUGGAAAAGGAAAUGGCAACCCCCUCCAGUGUUCUUGCCUGGGAAAUCCCAUGGACAGAGGAGCCUGGCGGGCUACAGUCUAUGGGGUCAAAAAGAGUUGAACACGACUUAGUGACUAAACACCACCAAGAGUUCAUUGCAGUCUCCCCUUCACCUUGUACCAUUUAUAUAUAUGUUAAUAGCUUUAUCCCAGUUCAGGUCAGAGUCACAAAAUCAAAUCCACAGUGGAUGUUGGCACAGAAAAGCAGACCUAUAGCCAACAAUACUGUUCUACUGACUUAGCCACUCCCUCCAGUGCCACAGUCACCUCCAGUCCUUGGCAUGGGGAGAUUCACUGCUGGACCUGACCUUUCUUCUUCCCAUGAGCUCCACCAGAUUAGCCCCUUCUCAUCCUUCCAGGCUUGGAUUAGCUGUCUCAGGUUCUCUAGGAUAGGAUUAGGGUCUCUUGCAAAGGGCCCCCCCACCACCACAAAGCUGCCCAGUUCUGUCCAAAAUCAGAACCAACUACCCUGUGUGGUUAGUGGAUAACUAGAAUGACCAGAUCAUCUAUCAUCUAAACCAGAACUCUUCAGAAGUUGAGGUAGCACGUUUAAGCAUUACACAAAGACAACAAGCAGAAACCAGAACAUGGGCUCAGACCCAGUGAUUUCAGAGAAAUGAAAAUAGGAGCAUUAGAAAGGGUACAUCUUACAGUCAGUGAAAUGUGGCAUUUAACGUUACAGAUUCUUUCUGGACAAGUGAAAAACAUGCCUUACAUGGUCUUUGUGAGCAUUCUGUUGUUUCUGUUUAUUUGUUUCUUAAGUGAUAGAACCCAGAAUGGGCCAGAGUUAAGGGAAGCAACCACUUUGGUACACUGAUUGUAGGGCUGGAACUUGGUUCAAUGUAUCUGGAAGAUAACUGACACUGUACAUCAAAGGCCUUAAAAUGAUUCAUAACCUCUGACUCAGCACUUCUAUCCCUGGGAAUCGCUCCUAUGGAGAUAAUCAAGGUCAUGAAAAAAAUUUGUCUAUGUUCAUUAUAGCAUUAACAAAAAAUGGGAAAUAAUUUAAUAGUCAGCCUAUAAAUAGUUUAAGUAAAUUAUCACACAAACCUUUUGGUAGAAUACAAAGAGCCACUCAAAAAUUCUGUUGUAAAAGUAGGUUUAAUGACAUCUUGUUAAGCAGAAAAAGAUUUACAAGGUAAUUCAUACAUAAUUUAGUUUUAUCUAUAAAAUGUUUGUAAAAAAGAGAGCUAUGUAUAUUUUCUUUUUAUGACAGAAAAUUUCUCUCUAUAUUUAUGGU